rnacentral:rRNA from 1 species
AACGAACGCUGGCGGCAUGCCUAACACAUGCAAGUCGAACGAGACCUUCGGGUCUAGUGGCGCACGGGUGCGUAACGCGUGGGAAUCUGCCCUUGGGUUCGGAAUAACUCAGAGAAAUUUGAGCUAAUACCGGAUGAUGACGUAAGUCCAAAGAUUUAUCGCCCAAGGAUGAGCCCGCGUAGGAUUAGCUAGUUGGUGAGGUAAAGGCUCACCAAGGCGACGAUCCUUAGCNGGUCUGAGAGGAUGAUCAGCCACACUGGGACUGAGACACGGCCCAGACUCCUACGGGAGGCAGCAGUGGGGAAUAUUGGACAAUGGGCGAAAGCCUGAUCCAGCAAUGCCGCGUGAGUGAUGAAGGCCUUAGGUUGUAAAGCUCUUUUACCCGGAUGAUAAUGACAGUACCGGAGAAUAAGCUCCGGCUAACUCCGUGCCAGCCGCCGCGGUAAC